AUGUCCGGCUACCCCUACGGUGGCGCCGGAGGAGGAGGAGGCGGCGGCUACGGGGCCCCUCCGCCCUACGGCUCCUCCCCCGCCCCCUCGGCCCCGCCCUACGGCGAUAAGCCCCCCAAGGAAGGCAAGGCCUCCUCCCCCUACUACGCCUCCCCGCCCUCCUCCCAGCCCCAGUCCUACGGCGGCGGCGGCUACGGGGCCCCGCCCGCCGGCCAGCCCCAGUCCUACGGCGGCGGCGGAGGCUACGGUGCUCCGCCCGCGGGCCAGUCCUACGGCGCCCCGCCUCCCUCGUCGGCGCCCUACGGGGCCCCGCCCCCCGCGGCAGCGCCGUAUGGGGCCGCUGGCGGGUACGGGAGCCCGUUCGCGGCGCUCGUGCCGUCGGCGUUCCCGCCGGGGACGGACCCCAACGUCGUGGCGUGCUUCCAGGCCGCCGACCGCGACGGCAGCGGGACCAUCGACGACAAGGAGCUGCAGUCCGCGCUCUCCGGCUACAACCAGAGCUUCAGCCUCCGCACCGUCCACCUUCUCAUGUACCUCUUCACCAACACCAACGUCCGCAGGAUCGGGCCCAAGGAGUUUACUUCUGUUUUUUACAGUCUUCAGAACUGGAGGUCUAUAUUUGAGAGGUUUGACCGUGACCGAAGUGGUAAAAUUGAUGCAUCGGAGCUGCGCGAUGCUCUUCUCAGUCUGGGUUAUUCAGUUUCUCCAACUGUGCUAGACUUGCUCGUGUCUAAAUUCGACAAGACUGGAGGCAUGAGCAAAGCAGUUGAAUAUGACAACUUUAUUGAGUGUUGCCUUACGGUCAAGGGUCUGACUGAGAAGUUCAAGGAGAAGGACACGUCUUACUCCGGGUCUGCAACUUUCAGUUACGAGGCAUUCAUGUUGACUGUGCUCCCUUUCAUCAUCGCUUGA
rnacentral:rRNA from 1 species